rnacentral:rRNA from 1 species
UACGUAGGGGGCAAGCGUUGCUCGGAAUCACUAGGCGUAAAGCGCGCGUAGGCGGACUCUUAAGUCUGUGGUGAAAUCCUGGAGCUCAACUCCAGAACUGCCUUCGAUACUGGGAGUCUUGAGUCCGGGAGAGGUGAGUGGAACUGCGAGUGUAGAGGUGAAAUUCGUAGAUAUUCGCAAGAACACCAGUGGCGAAGGCGGCGCGCUGGCCCGGUACUGACGCUGAUGCGCGAAAGCUAGGGGAGCAAACGGG